UCGUGGGUGACUGCGAAUCUGAAGGAAGCCCGAGGCAAAUUGCUGGCCUGACGAACAGAAAGCGAAUAACCGCUUAACCUGAACCGCCGUAUACGGAACCGUAUGUACGGUGGUGUGAGAGGACGGCGGAUGUA
rfam:Pseudomonas sp. TW4, complete genome.